AACGAACGCUGGCGGCGUGCCUAACACAUGCAAGUCGAGGGAGAAAACCGCAAGGUGAGUACACCGGCGAACGGGUGCAUAACACGUGGACAACCUACCUCAUCGACUGGGAUAACUGGGCGAAAGCCUUGCUAAUACCAGAUAAGCCCACGCCUUCCACGGAAGGAGAGGGAAAAGUCGGCCACUGCAAGCAAGCUGACACGAUGAGAUGGGGUCCGCGGCCCAUCAGCUAGUUGGCGGGGUAACGGCCCACCAAGGCAACGACGGGUA
rnacentral:rRNA from 1 species